UACGGAGGGUGCAAGUGUUAUUCGGAAUCACUGGGCGUAAAGAGCACGUAGGCGGAUAGGCAAGUCAGAUGUGAAAUCCCGGAGCUCAACUCCGGAACUGCAUUUGAUACUGCCUGUCUUGAGUGAGGUAGAGGGGAGUGGAAUUCCCGGUGUAGAGGUGAAAUUCGUAGAUAUCGGGAGGAACACCAGAGGCGAAGGCGACUCCCUGGGCCUCUACUGACGCUGAGGUGCGAAAGCGUGGGGAGCAAACAGGAUUAGAUACCCCGUA
rnacentral:rRNA from 1 species